rnacentral:tRNA from 1 species
UAGCUCAGUUCAUUAGAGCAUCGGCCUGAUAUGCCAAAGUUCUGGGUUCAAUCCCAG